rnacentral:rRNA from 1 species
AUGAACGCUGGCGGCGUGCCUAAUCCAUGCAAGUCGAGCGAACAGACGAGGAGCUUGCUCCUCUGACGUUAGCGGCGGACGGGUGAGUAACACGUGGAUAACCUACCUAUAAGACUGGGAUAACUUCGGGAAACCGGAGCUAAUACCGGAUAAUAUAUUGAACCGCAUGGUUCAAUAGUGAAAGACGGUUUUGCUGUCACUUAUAGAUGGAUCCGCGCCGCAUUAGCUAGUUGGUAAGGUAACGGCUUACCAAGGCAACGAUGCGUAGCCGACCUGAGAGGGUGAUCGGCCACACUGGAACUGAGACACGGUCCAGACUCCUACGGGAGGCAGCAGUAGGGAAUCUUCCGCAAUGGGCGAAAGCUUGACGGAGCAACGCCGCGUGAGUGAUGUAGGUCUUCGGAUCGUAAAACUCUGUUAUUAGGGAAGAACAAAUGUGUAAGUAACUAUGCACGUCUUGACGGUACCUAAUCAGAAAGCCACGGCUAACUACGUG